rnacentral:rRNA from 1 species
CUCAGGAUGAACGCUGGCGGCGUGCCUAACACAUGCAAGUCGAACGGAUCCAUAUUGAAACCUAGUGAUGUAUGGAUUAGUGGCGGACGGGUGAGUAACGCGUGGAUAACCUGCCGUAUACAGGGGGAUAACACUUAGAAAUAGGUGCUAAUACCGCAUAAGCGCACGGUUCCGCAUGGAACAGUGUGAAAAACUCCGGUGGUAUACGAUGGAUCCGCGUCUGAUUAGCCAGUUGGCGGGGUAACGGCCCACCAAAGCGACGAUCAGUAGCCGGCCUGAGAGGGUGAACGGCCACAUUGGGACUGAGACACGGCCCAAACUCCUACGGGAGGCAGCAGUGGGGAAUAUUGCACAAUGGGGGAAACCCUGAUGCAGCGACGCCGCGUGAGUGAAGAAGUAUCUCGGUACGUAAAGCUCUAUCAGCAGGGAAGAAAAUGACGGUACCUGACUAAGAAGUCCCGGCUAACUACGUGCCAGCAGCCGCGGUAAUACGUAGGGGGCAAGCGUUAUCCGGAUUUACUGGGUGUAAAGGGAGCGUAGACGGCAGCGCAAGUCUGGAGUGAAAUGCCGGGGCCCAACCCCGGAACUGCUUUGGAAACUGUGCAGCUCGAGUGCAGGAGAGGUAAGCGGA